rnacentral:rRNA from 1 species
GACGAACGCUGGCGGCGUGCUUAACACAUGCAAGUCGAACGGAAAGGCCCUGCUUGCAGGGUACUCGAGUGGCGAACGGGUGAGUAACACGUGGGUGAUCUGCCCUGCACUUCGGGAUAAGCCUGGGAAACUGGGUCUAAUACCGGAUAGGAGCCAUUUUUAGUGUGAUGGUUGGAAAGUUUUUUCGGUGUAGGAUGAGCUCGCGGCCUAUCAGCUUGUUGGUGGGGUAAUGGCCUACCAAGGCGGCGACGGGUAGCCGGCCUGAGAGGGUGGACGGCCACAUUGGGACUGAGAUACGGCCCAGACUCCUACGGGAGGCAGCAGUGGGGAAUAUUGCACAAGGGGCGCAAGCCUGAUGCAGCGACGCCGCGGGGGGGAGGACGGCCUUCGGGUUGUAAACUCCUUUCGCUAGGGACGAAGCUUUUUGUGACGGUACCUAGAUAAGAAGCACCGGCUAACUACGUG